AUUCCUACGGGAGGCAGCAGUGGGGAAUAUUGCACAAUGGGCGAAAGCCUGAUGCAGCGACGCCGCGUGAGGGAUGAAGGCCUUCGGGUUGUAAACCUCUUUCAGCAGGGAAGAAGCAGCCGGGUUUUCUUGGUUGUGACGGUACCUGCAGAAGAAGCACCGGCUAACUACGUGCCAGCAGCCGCGGUAAUACGUAGGGUGCAAGCGUUGUCCGGAAUUAUUGGGCGUAAAGAGCUUGUAGGCGGUUUGUCGCGUCUGCUGUGAAAUUUCGGGGCUCAACCCCGAACUUGCAGUGGGUACGGGCAGACUAGAGUGUGGUAGGGGAGACUGGAAUUCCUGGUGUAGCGGUGAAAUGCGCAGAUAUCAGGAGGAACACCGAUGGCGAAGGCAGGUCUCUGGGCCACUACUGACGCUGAGAAGCGAAAGCAUGGGGAGCGAACAGGAUUAGAUACCCUGGUAGUCCAUGCCGUAAACGUUGGGAACUAGGUGUGGGCCUCAUUCCACGAGGUCCGUGCCGCAGCUAACGCAUUAAGUUCCCCGCCUGGGGAGUACGGCCGCAAGGCUGAAACUCAAAGGAAUUGACGGGGGCCCGCACAAGCGGCGGAGCAUGCGGAUUAAUUCGAUGCAACGCGAAGAACCUUACCAAGGCUUGACAUGUGCCGGAAAAGUGCAGAGAUGUGCUCCCCGCAAGGUCGGUACACAGGUGGUGCAUGGUUGUCGUCAGCUCGUGUCGUGAGAUGUUGGGUUAAGUCCCGCAACGAGCGCAACCCUCGUUCUAUGUUGCCAGCACGUGACGGUGGGGACUCAUAGGAGACUGCCGGGGUCAACUCGGAGGAAGGUGGGGAUGACGUCAAAUCAUCAUGCCCCUUAUGUCUUGGGCUUCACGCAUGCUACAAUGGCCAGUACAAAGGGCUGCGAUACCGUAGGUGGAGCGAAUCCCAAAAAACUGGUCUCAGUUCGGAUUGGGGUCUGCAACUCGACCCCAUGAAGUCGGAGUCGCUAGUAAUCGCAGAUCAGCAACGCUGCGGUGAAUACGUUCCCGGGCCUUGUACACACCGCC
rnacentral:rRNA from 1 species